rnacentral:lncRNA from 1 species
GGCUAGUCCUAGGAAGUGCGCAUGCUCUACAGUCCCAAGCCCGGGACGCGGCUCCGAGCCUCCGGCUGAUGGAGAUGUGCUCGGUCCUCCCAGGAGUGGCAGAGGUUGGGUAUGAUUGUCCAUCGGGGCCGGAAGCCAGUGUCAUCACUGUGACGGCGUUGCCAGCACUUGGAGAGGCUGAGGCGGGAUCCCAAGUUCAAGGCCAGCCUGGGCAACUUUGCAAGACCCUCAGAAUACCAGAACAACAAAGACCAGGGCUGUAGCACACCUCGAAGGAUUAAAAGGCACUGCUGAAAGGUGCUGGCGAGAAACUGAAGAUUGACCAUGAGAAAGAAGGUGGAGAAACAGCUGCUGCCCGAGAGGCACAAGUAGCAGGCGGUCUGCAGGAUCCGGCCUUCCCAGGAGUGCAGGGGGCCACAUCUGGAGACCUGGCAGCAGCCGCCUGUCUGGGGGCACCCGAAGUGUUGGUAAUGUGCAGGCUCCUGGCAAAGAGCAGAACCGUCCUGUACUGAAUCCAGGAAGGAGACCGCAGCCUCCAGUCCUGCCCCAAAGCCUUGGUUGGGACGGACACAGCCUUGCUGCCCCUUUCCUGAGCUGGCUAAGCUUAAGGGGCAAAGGCCCCCACCCCCAUCUGAGUAAGCGGUGCUGCUUGCUCAACUCCAGGAAUAUGUUAAUUCAAGCUUCAAAUUGUAAUCACUUCUUUAUAAAAGUUUUGAAUUAAGCCAAUGCACAUACACUUUUCAUGUUAUACAAUUUCCUUGGUUUUGGGGCCCCUAAUGGGGAAACACCACUUAAACUAUGAACUCAGGCAAGAGACAUUUUCUGGAGCAAAGGAAUAAAUGAAUUGAGAUGUACUUCCCUCCAAGUAGGGCCAACACUAAAUACUAAAGCCUCCAAAAGACCACUCAACAUUCAAC